rnacentral:rRNA from 1 species
AUUGAACGCUGGCGGCAGGCCUAACACAUGCAAGUCGAGCGGAGCGAGGGUGCUUGCACCUUAGCUUAGCGGCGGACGGGUGAGUAAUGCUUAGGAAUCUGCCUAUUAGUGGGGGACAACAUUCCGAAAGGGAUGCUAAUACCGCAUACGCCCUACGGGGGAAAGCAGGGGAUCUUCGGACCUUGCGCUAAUAGAUGAGCCUAAGUCGGAUUAGCUAGUUGGUGGGGUAAAGGCCUACCAAGGCGACGAUCUGUAGCGGGUCUGAGAGGAUGAUCCGCCACACUGGGACUGGAACACGGCCCAGACUCCUACGGGAGGCAGCAGUGGGGAAUAUUGGACAAUGGGCGGAAGCCUGAUCCAGCCAUGCCGCGUGUGUGAAGAAGGCCUUUUGGUUAUAAAGCACUUUAAGCGAGGAGGAGGCUACUUUAGAUAAUACCUAGAGAUAGUGGACGUUACUCGCAGAAUAAGCACCGGCUAACUCUGUGCCAGCCGCCGCCGUAACAC